UCGUUGGAUUAGCUUUUCGAGGUGGGUUGAAGUUUACCGAAAUCGUCAGUUUUCCUCCUAAGCCGAAGUUGACAGUAUGUAUUUUUGGUUUCGCAUAUCAUGAUUAAUAGCUCGAAUUCAUUGAAUUGCAUGUUCUUUGAAAUAUGAAUUUGGAGCAUAAUUAGUGUUAGUUGAAUUUUACAUGUUGGACUUGGAAUUGACUUAGGAGAAAACUAUCAAAUUCUAUACUGUCAUUUUCUGAAAACUAACAGAUUUAGCUUUAGGAGCUGUAGUUAGUUUGUAUCGCUGUAGUUUGUAUGCGGUGGAUAUACAGAAUAGUGUAUAAUGAAUUUACGCUCGUGCUCGGAUGCCGAGUUUAUUUUUACAGUAGUGUAUAGACUAUUUCGGACUGUCGGGUGCCGUUGUGGUUAACGGUGG
rnacentral:lncRNA from 1 species